rnacentral:rRNA from 1 species
AUACGGAGGAUGCGAGCGUUAUCCGGAUUUAUUGGGUUUAAAGGGUGCGUAGGCUGUGCGUUAAGUCAGGGGUGAAAUGCCGUCGCUCAACGACGGAGCUGCCCUUGAUACUGGCGUGCUGGAGUACGGAUGCCGUUGGAGGAAUGAGUGGUGUAGCGGUGAAAUGCUUAGAUAUCACUCAGAACACCGAUUGCGAAGGCAUCUGACGAAUCCGUCACUGACGCUGAGGCACGAAAGCGUGGGGAUAGAGCAGGAUUAGAUACCCUGGUAUUCCACGCCGUAAACGAUGAUGACUAACCGUCGGCGAUAGACAGCCGGUGGCCAAGCGAAAGCGAUAAGUCAUCCACCUGGGGAGUACGUCGGCAUCGAUGAAACUCAAAUGAAUUGACGGGG